rnacentral:lncRNA from 1 species
UUACUUUCGAUAACAAGACAUUCAAAUUCACGAUCGAUUUCGUAAAGUAUAAUUUAUACUAUUAAAAUCAUCUAAAAAUUAAAUUUUAUAAUUUUUAUUUUAAAUAUUAUUUAGUAAGUGAUCAAAAGAUUGCAAAAAUUACUAUUUUAACGUUGAUGUGAUACGUUUCUAAGUUCAACAGUGUAGAACAAUCUAAAUUAUAUGAAACUUUAAUAAAAAAAUUUACUUAAUAUCGAUAGCAAGAUUAAUACUUUUGAUUUAAAAUUUGAGCCUUCUAUCACUAUUUUUUAUAAAAUUUUUAUUUUCAGCCGUUUAUUUUGAGGCUACUCGUUCACUAGACAAAUAAAGUGAAAAAAUUAUUAUUAUUAUUUUUUGAGAGAUAGGUAGCACGCUACCCGCUUCGUUUAUUUCAUUUAGAAAUAAACUUAGCUAGAAAUGUAAAUCAACUAGAAUUCAAACUUGGGUCUCGGGUACCAAUCAUCAAGUCCUUUGCCACUUGCUCUAGGGCAUGUUUGGUUGCCCGUAAGUGAAACAUAAAAGUGGUAUUUUUGCGAAGUGGGACUAUUUCGGAUGUUUGGAUUAUAAAAGUAAAAAUAUAAGUGACUUUUGAAAAGUAAACCCAUGAAGUGGAUUAUAACUAAAAUUUACUUUUUUGACUUCGGCAAAAAAAUUCCGAAGUGGUUGAAAGUGGGCCGCUUCCUCCACACAACUUAAACCUUCUUCCAUACCAUCUACAAAACAAAAAAAAAAAAAAAAAAAAAAAAAAAAAAAAAAAACCCACCGAACAAAACAAAACAAAACAAAGAAAGAGACUACCUUAUUCAUAUCAUCUACAAAAAAAAGAAAAAGAAAAAAAAAACUACACAUCUAAAAAAAAUCAUUUUAUUUUUUUUAUUUUCAUAUAUAUAGAACCAAAUAAUAGAAAUCAUAAAAAUUAUAUUUUUUUCUUUCACUUUUUUGAAACGAAACAUUUGAACUAAAAAGUGACUUUUAUAAAAGUCACUUUUUGAAAAGUGACUUUUUUUUUCACUUCGAUCAGUUACAGACAACCAAACAUGCCCCUAGGAACGGUUGGUGAAGUGAAAAAAUUAUGAAAUUUGAUUUUUAGAUAGUUUCAAUAAUGUAGAUCAUAUCUAACAGAACCGAUUGUCGAAUUAUAUGUCCCAUCAUCGAAAACAACUUAUAAGCACGGAGACCUCCGUACUUUCAAAAACAUGGAGCCUAGCUCUAGGAGCAUUCGUAUUUCUCAUUUUUUAACCGUCAGAUUGUAUUAAAUUUGUUUUACUAGUGAUAUACGAAUUUUGAGGCGAUUUGAUGGCUAAAAAAUUAUAAGCAUGUUGAAUUCCUGUGCUUUAAAAAGCACACGAGUU